CUCUGAUGAGCAAGUGAAAGUCUUAAGACAGGUAUGAGCUUAGCAUGUUUGAGGAACAGCAAGAAGACUAUGAAAGAGGCACCAGAGGCCGGGCAUGGUGGCUCAUAAUUGUAAUCCCAGCACUUUGGGAGGCUAAGGUGCGCAAAUCAGGAGGUCAAGACCAGCCUGGACAACAUGGUGAAACCUCAUUUCUACUAAAAAUACAAAAAAUUAGCUGGGUGUGGUGGCAGGUGCCUGUAAUCCCAGCUACUCAGGAGGCGGAGGUUGCGGUGAGCCGAGAUCGCGCCAUUGCACUCCAGCCUGGGUAACAAGAGUGAAACUCCGUCUGAAAACAAAACAAAAAAUUCAAAAAUAAAAAAUAGGCAAAGGACCCGAAUAGACAUUUCUCCAAAGAAGGCAUACAAAUGGUCAUAGAUACACAAAAAGUACUCAACAUCACUAUCAUCAGGGAAAUAAAAAUUGAAACCAAAAUGAAAUACCACUUUACACUAUUAAUAUGGAUAUUAUCAAAAUGUCAAGAAAUCAUAAAUGCUGGUGUGGGUGUAUAGAAAAAAAUAACUCUUGUAGACAGCUUGUGGGAAUGUAAAUUAAUACAGCCAUUAUGAAAAAUAGUAUGGUGGUUCCUCAAAAAAUUGAAAAUAGAACUACCGUAUGAUCUAGCAGCCCCUCUUCUGUGUAUAUGCCCAAAGAAAAAAAGAUCAGCAGCUCAUAGAGCUAUCUGCACUCCCAUGUUCAUUGCACCCUUAUUCACAAUAGCCAAGAUUUGAAUGCAACCUAAAUAUGACCAUAGACACACAAUUUACACACACAAUGGAAUAUUAUUCAGUCUUAAGAAAGAAAUCCUAUUAUUUGUGACAACAUAGAUAAACCUGGAGGACAUUAUACUAAAUGAAAUUAAACCAGACACACACAAAAAAUGCAUGAUCUUUUUUACAUGUGGAAACUGAGAAAAUAAAAAUAUAUUGAAACAGGCCGUAGAAUCAUAGUUAACAGAGGUGGGUAGGAGGGAUAGUGAAGAGGAUUUGAUAUAGGUCAAAGGGUGAAAAGUUUUAGUUAUGUAGAGUGAAUAAGUCUAAUAAUUUAAAAUAUAGUAUGAGGACUAUAGUUAAUAAUAUUGUAUUGCAUAUUGAAAAAUUAAGAGAGUAGAUUUUUGAGGUCUGAACUACACACCCAAAGAAAAAGCUAACACUGUAAAAUGAAGGAUAUGUUCAUUGAUUUGAGUGUAUGAAUCAUUUCACUAUGUAUGCAUAUUUCAAAACAUUAUUGUAUACCUUAAAUAUACACAAUAAAAACAUCAAGAAAAGAAAGACAAAUAAAUUGGAGAUCAUUUACUCCAAAAGUUUUCUCUCAAACAAGAUUGGCAAUUGUUCUUGUUGCCUCAACGCUCAGAGAUCUGCAGGUACUGCCAACUUGUGUCUAAAUCUGAACACUUUCAACAGAUUAUUCUAAUUAUCUUUCUUCUAAUGCCAACCAAAAAUAGUUGCAAUUUUAUAUGAAGUAUUUCUGAUACAAGAUUUACAUGAUAAAAAACAAUAGCUUUCAUUUAUACUGGCAAUAUAUAACUUACAUGGAACCCAUUCUUAGAUAAAUAUAACUGAUUUCUUAAAAAGUAUCCUAGGAUAAAGCUAACAAGUACAUGAAAAUAAUAGAAAAGAAAAAUUAUAAAACUUUAUCAGAGGACAUAAAGUUAAUAAUCUAGAGUUACCACAUUUCUGUAUAGAAAGACAAAAUAUGUUAAAUGCACAUUCUUUAUAAAAUAAUGCAUGGUAUUGAUGUAACCCAAAAGAAAAUUGUAAGAAAAUUAAUUGAAGAGGUUACACUAAUUUUUUUAAAGAUUAUUUGGGGGAAAAUGUGAUAGAAAAGCCAAAAACAUUUUGAAAAAGACAAUUUCAGGGCACUUGAAAUGCAAAGUAUCAACCUAUAUACACACAGUUUGAGAAAUUGUAAGAGUUAUUUUGAUAUCAAAAUGUAUAGAUAUAUUAAUGAAAAACAAUGUAAAGUCAAGCAUCAGACACAUGAAUUUACAAAAUUAAUU
rnacentral:lncRNA from 1 species